UAAGGAAUAUUGGUCAAUGGAGGCAACUCUGAACCAGCCAUGCCGCGUGCAGGAAGAAGGCCCUAUGGGUCGUAAACUGCUUUUGAACAAGAGAAAACCCCGGUACGUGUACUGGGUUGAUAGUAUUGUUAGAAUAAGCAUCGGCUAACUUCGUGCCAGCAGCCGCGGUAAGACGAAGGAUGCAAGCGUUAUCCGGAUUCAUUGGGUUUAAAGGGUGCGUAGGCGGACUGAUAAGUCAGUGGUGAAAUCUCUCGGCUUAACCGAGAAACUGCCAUUGAUACUGUUAGUCUAGAGUACAGAUGAUGUGGGCGGAAUAUGACAUGUAGUGGUGAAAUACUUAGAUAUGUCAUAGAACACCGAUUGCGAAGGCAGCUCACAAAACUGUAACUGACGCUGAGGCACGAAAGUGCGGGGAUCAAACAGGAUUAGAUACCCAAGUAGUCCCUGAGCGGGCUGGCAAGGCGCAU
rnacentral:rRNA from 1 species